AUUUGUAGUGGCCCAGUUCCUUUAUUGUUCCUGUUGUUGUGUGUCCUGGCUAAAGAGACUCACCAUGGCCAUGUUGACCGUUCUUCUGCUUCUCAGUGCUGCCUUUGCUCUGGGAGACGCAAUUUAAUCAGGAAACCGCUUGUGUCCCCGCGGUUGGACUGACUAUGGAUCACGCUGCUUCAUGUUUGUCAAGACUGCAAGGACCUGGCCUGAAGCAGAGCGGCAUUGUAUGUCCCUUGGAGCAAACCUGGCGUCUGUGCAUAGCUCUGAGGAGGCGCAAUUUCUACAGGAUGUAGUGUCUUCCAAGACUGGCAGUUUCACUGCUACCUGGCUUGGAGGAAUUGAUACUAUUCUGGGACUGGUGGGAAAGGACAGGCUAUGGUUC